rnacentral:rRNA from 1 species
CCUACGGGAGGCAGCAGUGAGGAAUAUUGGACAAUGGGCGCAAGCCUGAUCCAGCCAUGCCGCGUGCAGGAUGACGGUCCUAUGGAUUGUAAACUGCUUUUAUACGAGAAGAAACACUGCUUCGUGAAGCAGCUUGACGGUAUCGUAAGAAUAAGGAUCGGCUAACUCCGUGCCAGCAGCCGCGGUAAUACGGAGGAUCCAAGCGUUAUCCGGAAUCAUUGGGUUUAAAGGGUCCGUAGGCGGUUUAAUAAGUCAGUGGUGAAAGCCCAUCGCUCAACGGUGGAACGGCCAUUGAUACUGUUAGACUUGAAUUAUUAGGAAGUAACUAGAAUAUGUAGUGUAGCGGUGAAAUGCUUAGAGAUUACAUGGAAUACCAAUUGCGAAGGCAGGUUACUACUAAUGGAUUGACGCUGAUGGACGAAAGCGUGGGUAGCGAACAGGAUUAGAUACCCUGGUAGUCCACGCCGUAAACGAUGGAUACUAGCUGUUGGGUGCAAACUCAGUGGCUAAGCGAAAGUGAUAAGUAUCCCACCUGGGGAGUACGUUCGCAAGAAUGAAACUCAAAGGAAUUGACGG